GAUGAACGCUAGCGGCAGGUCUAACACAUGCAAGUCGAGGGGUAGAGCACUUCGGUGUUUGAGACCGGCGCACGGGUGCGUAACGCGUAUGCAAUCUGCCUUACACUAAGGGAUAGCCCAGAGAAACUUGGAUUAAUACCUUAUAGUAUAUUGAUGUGGCAUCACAUUAUUAUUAAAGAUUUAUCGGUGUAAGAUGAGCAUUCGUCCCAUUAGCUAGUUGGUAUGGUAACGGCAUACCAAGGCAAUGAUGGGUAGGGGUCCUGAGAGGGAGAUCCCCCACACUGGUACUGAGACACGGACCAGACUCCUACGGGAGGCAGCAGUGAGGAAUAUUGGACAAUGGGCGCAAGCCUGAUCCAGCCAUGCCGCGUGCAGGAUGAAGCAUCUAUGGUGUGUAAACUGCUUUUGUACGGGAAGAAACACCUCUUCGUGAAGAGGCUUGACGGUACCGUAAGAAUAAGGACCGGCUAACUCCGUGCCAGCCGCCGCGGUAUUAC
rnacentral:rRNA from 1 species